rnacentral:snRNA from 1 species
GGGUGUGAGAACAAUCUGGCUUUACGUGUCAUCCCAUUAAUAGCCAGAGUGAUUUAGUGGAUCUGGCCGGCGAGGCCGGUCUCUCCCUGCUUCUUCACUGCCCACGUGUGUUCAUCAUGUUGAAGAGGGUCUUUCCUCUAACAGAGGAGGACUGCUCUUGAUCAGGGAUAUCCCAGUAGCUAUCCGGAUGCCCUUAGAUCUCCAGGCCUGCUCUACAAUUCUAGGUCCAAUCCCU